CUAUGGUUACAGUUCUAACUUGAGUUUGUAGUUAAGAACAAACAAGGACAGAUAUUUUUUACUGCCUAAGUUUCCUUAAGAUUUAUUCAAUUUCAUCAAAUUAAAGAAAAGGUUGUAUCAAUUCCACUUGGUUGAUCAAUUAGUCUGUCCUUGCUGAGGGCGUGGCUACUUUACAUUGACCAAUCAACAUACUUAUCAGGAUGUAUUUAAACAAGUGUGGAGUAGGUUUUUCUCAGAAAGUAGAAUUAAAGAAGGUUUUUUUUCAAAGGUUUCUAAUACUUGUUAAAACGUUUGUUGUUGUUGUUGAAUUUGAAUCACUGUGUUAAGUUUUUGAGGUGAAGAGUGAUUCCAGAAGUGAACGUUUCUUUAUACAACUGGAUAUAUAUAAUUUUUAAAAUGUGAAGAUAAAGAAUUAUCCCACAGAAGUAUCUCUUUCAAUUGAACUAAGGUUGGAUAAAUUGCUGUUGUUAACGGUGACUAGAAGUGAAGGGGGUUUGAUCAGACUUGGAAGUAUUGUAGUCACCAGAAGUUUGUCAAUAUAUUUGUCUUUCAUAAAUAAAGAUGUAAAGAUACAACUGAGUGAUGAUUUAAUACUGUGAUAAUAUAUAGAGUCUAUAUGAUUUAUAUGACUGUUUAGUACUUGAUAAUCUAUGUCUAUUUCUAAGGAGAGAAUAAUUAUUUAAACUUAGUUCUAUGAGUUUGAUUUUUGAUUAUAUGAAUUUCAAAUGUAAAGGUUAAUAUAUUUGAUUUGUAUUUUUUGAUUUACUGUUAGAGAAGUGUUUUUACAGGAUGAAAUAAAAAAAAAAAAAA